UACGUAGGUGGCAAGCGUUUGUCCGGAAUUAUUGGGCGUAAAGCGCGCGCAGGUGGUCCUUUUAAGUCUGAUGUGAAAGCCCACGGCUCAACCGUGGAGGGUCAUUGGAAAACUGGGGGGGACUUAGUGCAGGAGAGAAGAGUGGAAUUCCACGUGUAGCGGUGAAAUGCGUAGAGAUGUGGAGGAACACCAGUGGCGAAGGCGACUCACUGGACCACAACUGACGCUGAGGCGCGAAAGCUAGGGGGAGCAAAACAGG
rnacentral:rRNA from 1 species